GGCGCUACGGCGUCACCUAGAGAUGGAUCCGCGGUGCAUUAGUUAGUUGGUGGGGUAAAGGCCUACCAAGACAAUGAUGCAUAGCCGAGUUGAGAGACUGAUCGGCCACAUUGGGACUGAGACACGGCCCAAACUCCUACGGGAGGCUGCAGUAGGGAAUCUUCCACAAUGGGCGAAAGCCUGAUGGAGCAACGCCGCGUGUGUGAUGAAGGCUUUCGGGUCGUAAAGCACUGUUGUAUGGGAAGAACAGCUAGAGUAGGGAAUGACUUUAGUUUGACGGUACCAUACCAGAAAGGGACGGCUAAAUACGUG
rnacentral:rRNA from 1 species